rnacentral:rRNA from 1 species
CCUACGGGAGGCAGCAGUGGGGAAUAUUGCACAAUGGGGGAAACUCUGAUGCAGCAACGCCGCGUGAGUGAUGACGGCCCUCGGGUUGUAAAGCUCCGUUUUUAGGGACGUUAAUGACGGUACCUGAGGAUGUAUGCAAGGCUAAUUACGUUACAGCAGCCGUGGCUAUACGGAGGCGGCGAGCGUUGUCCGGAUUUACUGGGCGUUAAGGGAGUGUAGGCGGACUUUUAAGUGCGGUGUGAAAUACUCGGGGUCAACUUGAGUGCUGCAUUUCAAACUGGAAGUCUUGAGUGGAGGAGAGGAGGAUGGAAUUCCUGGUGUAGCGGUGAAAUGCGUAGAGAUUAGGAAGAACACCGAUGGCGAAGGCGGUUCUCUGGACUGUAACUGACGCUGAGGCUCGAAAGCGUGGGGAGCAAACAGGAUUAGAUACCCGGGUAGUC